rnacentral:rRNA from 1 species
CAAACGACUCUCGGCAACGGAUAUCUCGGCUCACGCAUCGAUGAAGAACGUAGCAAAAUGCGAUACUUGGUGUGAAUUGCAGAAUCCCGUGAACCAUCGAGUUUUGAACGCAAGUUGCGCCCGAAGCCACCCGGCCGAGGGCACGCCUGCCUGGGCGUCACGC